CCACCCGAGACUGUGGCUCAUUACAGAUCCUGCUCUGAUAACUGCACCACAGACCUGGGCUCAUUACGGCACUAAGGACUCUAUCCAGCUCUCCAGGCCUGCAGCUGUUUGUGUUUGUCAGCCAGUGUUGGUGCCCGAGAUGAUCCAAGCGAGAGUUGGCAUUGCACUUGAUGGCAGAGUUUUGGGUGGAGGUCAGAGGUCACAGUCCUACUGGAACCACCGGAACGCUGCACCCGUCGGCAGCAUCACCUUCUUAGAGAAAGAAAAAGAGAAAUGGGGGGAGGGGACAGAAAUGGGGUGCAUUUAGUAAAGUGCGGGCUAGAUAAAAAAAAAAAAAAAAAGACAUAUAGACCUAAAUUUGUUAGAUCCAAAUUAGCAUUUUGUGGCUUUUAGUCCAUGUCUGUUAGCUUUGAAGUCUUUCUUUUUCACAGCAAAAAUACUGAUGACUCAUCCUGUACUACACAGAUUUUUGUCCAAUCACAUGCUCUCUAGAACGUGAAUUCCCCACCUCCGAAUAACACCUGCAACGGACUAGCAUUUAGCUAAUUGGGUCUCACAAGGUGUGUCCGGAAGUGCUCACUACUCCAUUUGAUAAGGAACAAAUUUAUCUAUAAAUUGUCUAUACUGUAGGCCUACAAAUGUCUGUAUUAUGACUGAAAUCCAAACGUACAUAGUCCGCCAUGUUGGCUCUGUUAUCGUCACUUGACUGCCAAUCAUGAAUCUUCUCCUGUGGCCUCAUGAGAUAGUACAGUGUCCAUUGGAUCCGUACUUCAGAAUCUCGUCAUAAGUAGUAGGUCACUGAGUACUUUUCGUCUACUUUUUUAUAAUACUAAAAAGACAAGCACACUAGUAAUUUUGCACAGUGUUUUUCAUCUACUAUAAAAUACUGAAGUAUGCAUACUCAGAUGCAAGUUGUAGGCAAUCAAAGUACUUUUCACUUCUGUUUUAUGAAUACUACAAAGUCUGACAUACUACUAAUUUCACAUACCCUUUUUCACUUACUAUAUAGUAUUAAAGUAUGCAUAUUCGAAUGUAAGUUGUAGGUCACUGAGUACUUUUUGCUUACUGUUUUACAAAUGCUACGAAAUCUGACAUACUGCUAAUUUGACUUUUUCGCUUAAUACAUAGCAUUAAAAUAUGCGUAUUUGGAUGCAAGGUCAUUUUAUAAAUACUACGAAAUCCAGAAUGCUACUUUUUAACAUACUGUUUUUCGUCUACUAUAUAGGAUGGAAAUAUGCUUAUUCGGACACAAGCUGUAGGUCAUCAAGUGCUUUUUUGCUUACGUUUAAUGAAUACUGCAAAGUUUGCAUACUACUAAUUUCACAUACUUUUUUCCCGCCAACUAUAUCAUAUCGAAUAAUGCAUAUUCAGAUACAAGUUGAAGGUCCAUGAGUACUUUUCACUUACUGUUUUACGAAUACUGCCAAGUUUGACAUACUACUAAUUUCACAUCCCCUUAUCGCUUACUAUAUAGUAUUAAAGUAUUCAUAUUCAGAUGUAAGUUGUAGGUCACUGAGUACUUUUCGCGUAUUGUUUUAUGAGUACUAUAAAACCAACAUCCUACUAAUUUCACACAGUGUUUUCACCUACUAUAUUGUAUGAUAGUAUGCAUAUAUUUGGAUGCAGGGACAGAUGUGACGUAGCUAAAGCUUAUUGGCAAAUUUUAAAAAAGGGGAUAAGGUAUUAGAUAUCUCCUGCUUAAACUUCCUGUUUCAAUAGAAAAUAUAUCAGGGGACAAGCAUUUGACAAGCAAUACACCUUCAAAUGAAGAAAAUUAUGUGAUUAAAUUCUAAAUUUCAUUCUACUAUAAGCAAACACCAUUUAGAAACUGUUUCCAGGCAAAAAUACAGAAAAAAUACAGACUUUGGUUGUUUUGCAUCCUUUCGCUCUCCUCUGCGGCCAUAUGAUUCAUCUAAUUCCUCCUUCUCUCCCUUUCCUUCCCUGUUCUGUCUUUCCUGCCCCCCUCCUCCUCUCCAGCCAUGGGCCAUGGCCCUGGCUCCACGUGAAACCCGAUACGCCACAUUCAUUAUUUAGUCACCACGCAGUCACGUCGAGCACCCACCACACUGCUCUCACUACGGCCUCUUUAUAUAUCUCUCUCUCUGUAUUCUUUCAGUGCUGCACGUCUUGUUGGUUUGGUGUCUGCUAUUGAACUCAGGUGGGUGCUGAGUCCGGGCCAGAUGAGGAAAAGCAAGAAGCCUUGUGAGGCAACGUUGAGGUUGAAGGGGGCUAAAGCUCAGGCAUUGCUGGAAAGAUAUAACGCCUUUCCCCUAACAGUGCAACACUACUGCGGCACAGAAUCUUAAACAUUCGCCAGCACUGGCCCGAGCCAUGGGCGGCA
ensembl:lncRNA